rnacentral:rRNA from 1 species
UCAGUUCGGAUCGGAGUCUGCAACCCGACUCCGUGAAGCUGGAUUCGCUAGUAAUCGCGCAUCAGCCAUGGCGCGGUGAAUACGUUCCCGGGCCUUGUACACACCGCCCGUCAAGCCAUGGGAGCCGGGGGUGCUUGAAGUGCGUCGCCGCGAGGCGCGCCCUAGAGCAAAACCGGUGACUGGGGCUAAGUCGUAACAAGGUACC